rnacentral:lncRNA from 1 species
GGAGAUCAAGACUCUCAGCUGGGGUCCUCAAUAACUACCUGGUGCCCGAGAAAGCUUGAACCCACAAGGGGUUGGCUACUCGGUGAAGGCCAGUCAGAGUGGACAGGGUGUAUCAACAAUGCACAGCCCUAGCAUGGCCAACGGGGGAUGCCCAAAAAGAAGCAAGGAGACUGACUCCAAGAAACAGAGACAUGACUGCAGAGCACCCAAAGGCCCACAGCUCAGUACCCGGUUGAUCCAGAGAGCUAGGAGCCUGUCCUGGAGAGCACAAUCCUCAUGGAUGCCCCUCAGCUAUUUGCAGAAAAGGAAGCAACACCAUAACUGAUGCCCUGGAGUCCUGAAGUGGGGUGUUUUGUUAUUUUAUUGCAUAUAUCACAAAAGCACUUCUGCUGAACUUUUGUGCACAUUACAUGACGUAUUUUUGUAUGUUCAAUUUUCCUCUGAAAACUGCAAUCUCUUUGAAGCCAAUAUGUGUGCAUUUGCCAUUCCUUUUACUCUCCAGCCUAGGACAGACAAAACAUAUACCAAGAGCUCCAUUAGUAUUUAUUUGAUGUAUGUAGAUGUUUAUUUAUUUAUCACUCAAUAAAUUAAAAAAUCAUGUAGAUAUAAGCCAUUACAUAAAAGCACAGGCCAGUUCAUGGUGUACCUAUUAAAAUAAUUAUAUAAUCAAUGAUUUGCAAUAGUAAUUAAUUCAUUUGAGUAUAAACAAAUGCC